rnacentral:rRNA from 1 species
CAGUCGCCGCGGGAAUACAGAGGGUGCGAGCGUUAAUCGGAUUUACUGGGCGUAAAGCGUGCGUAGGCGGCUUUUUAAGUCGGAUGUGAAAUCCCUGAGCUUAACUUAGGAAUUGCAUUCGAUACUGGGAAGCUAGAGUAUGGGAGAGGAUGGUAGAAUUCCAGGUGUAGCGGUGAAAUGCGUAGAGAUCUGGAGGAAUACCGAUGGCGAAGGCAGCCAUCUGGCCUAAUACUGACGCUGAGGUACGAAAGCAUGGGGAGCAAACAGGAUUAGAGACCCCGGUAGUCCCUGUCUCUUAUAC